UGUUCAUGGGUUUCCUCAAAGUCUUCUGCUAACUAGGUUAUCUGCGGUCUUCGUCUGAACUUAAAAGUCUUCUUUUCAUAGCCUUGGUCGCUUUAGCUUUAAGAUCAGAAUCAAAAUGUUGACGAGGAACGUAAAAAAAGACGGAGUAGAAAAUAAUGUAACUUGAAAGAUUGAGAAUGUUACUGGUGAAAUUGUAUAAUUUUAUAGACUUUGUUUUAUAAUUAUUAACAAAUAUUACCUGUUUAUUCUAGGUGAUAUACAUGUGUUUACUAUAAUCAGUUGAAGAUGAACACAAAAUAUCAUCAACAAAGACUGCAAACACGCAAUGUAGGAUUUUAUAAGAACCAAUAGGAAAAGUGGUCUAGCUAAUAUAAACGAGCAAUGUACUAUGGCCAAGAAUACGAACACACAGUGUAAAGUAUGGACCAAAUGCAUUUAUAUUUUAAAACAAUCGUUGAAUGAUACUCAUUAGGCAAGACGGUGAACGUGUAACUACGAAAUUCAAAGUUGAAGUAUGAUUUACUUAUUUGUUUAUUCGUUCUUUACAAUUAGUGGAAAUAUUCUGUAAUUUGUUGUUUAAUGAUUGUAAUAAACAAUUAAUUGUGAUCCAUUAAUCUAA